rnacentral:rRNA from 1 species
UGAGGAAUAUUGGGCAAUGCCCGCAAGGGUGACCCAGCAACGCCGCGUGGAGGAGGAAUGUCGUAAGAUUGUAAAGUCCUGUUAGAGGGGAGGAAUAGUACCGGUUGGACCGGUAUAUGACUGUACCCUCAGAGAAAGCCCCGGCUAACUACUUGCCAGCAGCCGCGGUAUUACGAAGGGGGCAAGCGUGGUCCGGAUUUACGGGGUGUAAAGGGCGCGCAGGCGGGAUAAAAAGUCAGUGGUGAAAUCCUACAGCUUAACUGUAGAACUGCCUUUGAUACUUUUAUUCUUGAGUUCGGGAGAGAGAGACGGAAUUCCAGGUGUAGUGGUGAAAUACGUAGAUAUCUGGAAGAACACCAGUUGCGAAGGCGGUCUCUUGGUCCGACACUGACGCUGAGGCGCGAAAGCGUGGGGAGCAAACA